UACGAGAGGGCCGCUACCACGCGAGUGGAUGCCAAUCCCUAAAACCCCUCUCAGUUCGGACUGGAGUCUGCAACCCGACUCCACGAAGCUGGAUUCGCUAGUAAUCGCGCAUCAGCCACGGCGCGGUGAAUACGUUCCCGGGCCUUGUACACACCGCCCGUCAAGCCAUGGGAGCCGGGGGUACCUGAAGUGCGUAACCGCGAGGAUCGCCCUAGGGUAAAACUGGUGACUGGGGCUAAGUCGUAACAAGGUAAC
rnacentral:rRNA from 1 species